CGGUGCACUAUGCCAUUUUGGUGCAGAUAGCUAACGGCCUGCAGCACCUGCUGGAUCACGCUGCUGGCAUCCUUCUCUGAGUACACCCCCCGGUCCAGUAUACGGUCAAAGAGCUCACCGCCUGAAACACUGGAUCUCCUUAAAGCUUAUUGCGACCCUCAAGAGAAAUCAUCAAUCAAGCCCCGGACACGAAUGCCAGACAGCAUCCUUUUUUACAAAAAAGACAAAGGGCAAUGAGAAAUCACUGACACGCUAACUCGACACGAGUAUGUAAAUUUGCAAGCUUAAAAUUCACAAACGUUGACUAGAAUGAAAUUGCUCUGUGCUUUUUGAGACAUUCUGGGAGUUACAUUUACCCCUGAAGAGACUGCGUCCUGAUUGCCAGGAAACCAUUAGGAUGUUGUUUACACUGUGUGUGAUGGGGCCCAAUGGGAAGGGCUGUAUGUGAUGUUCUACGCAAUCUCCUGUCCCUUCUGGAUUCUCCUUCUUUUGUUGUGAUGGAAGACAGGAAGACAAAAAAACUAAACCGUAUACCUGAGAAUGGGCAAAACAGCUCAGAGGGUUCACUCUGUUGACACCUUCAACAGAAAUGAAAGCAGAAAAAUCAUUCAGUGGCUCAGACAGUAAUCCUUCAACGUACUUUUGUGUCUCUCUUUUGGUUGCUUGUCUUGAAUUUUUUUGCAAACUGUAUAGCAUCAGUUUGUCUUGAAAUUCAUUGUCAAUACUUUAGAUGAGGUGGUACGGAAAUAAACUUAUCACAAGUGCUUCUA